rnacentral:rRNA from 1 species
GACGAACGCUGGCGGCGUGCUUAACACAUGCAAGUCGAACGGAAAGGCCCUGCUUUUGUGGGGUGCUCGAGUGGCGAACGGGUGAGUAACACGUGAGUAACCUGCCCUUGACUUUGGGAUAACUUCAGGAAACUGGGGCUAAUACCGGAUAGGAGCUCCUGCUGCAUGGUGGGGGUUGGAAAGUUUCGGCGGUUGGGGAUGGACUCGCGGCUUAUCAGCUUGUUGGUGGGGUAGUGGAUUACCAAGGCUUUGACGGGUGGCCGGCCUGAGAGGGUCACCGGCCAAAUUGGGACUGAGAUGCGGCCCAGACUCCUACGGGAGGCAGCAGUGGGGAAUAGUGCACAAUGGGCGGAAGCCUGAUGCAGCAACGCCGCGUGCGGGAUGACGGCCUUCGGGUUGUAAACCGCUUUCGCCUGUGACGAAGCGUGAGUGACGGUAAUGGGUAAAGAAGCACCGGCUAACUACGUG